AGUGAACGCUGGCGGUAGGCCUAACACAUGCAAGUCGAACGGCAGCACAGGAGAGCUUGCUCUCUGGGUGGCGAGUGGCGGACGGGUGAGGAAUACAUCGGAAUCUACUUUUUCGUGGGGGAUAACGUAGGGAAACUUACGCUAAUACCGCAUACGACCUACGGGUGAAAGCAGGGGACCUUCGGGCCUUGCGCGAUUGAAUGAGCCGAUGUCGGAUUAGCUAGUUGGCGGGGUAAAGGCCCACCAAGGCGACGAUCCGUAGCUGGUCUGAGAGGAUGAUCAGCCACACUGGAACUGAGACACGGUCCAGACUCCUACGGGAGGCAGCAGUGGGGAAUAUUGGACAAUGGGCGCAAGCCUGAUCCAGCCAUACCGCGUGGGUGAAGAAGGCCUUCGGGUUGUAAAGCCCUUUUGUUGGGAAAGAAAUCCAGCUGGCUAAUACCCGGUUGGGAUGACGGUACCCAAAGAAUAAGCACCGGCUAACUUCGUGCCAGCCGCCGCCGUAAAAC
rnacentral:rRNA from 1 species